rnacentral:rRNA from 1 species
GUGCCAAGCAGCCGCGGUAAUUCCAGCUCCAAUAGCGUAUAUUAAAGUUGUUGCGGUUAAAAAGCUCGUAGUUGGAUCUCGGCGGGCAGGGGGUGGUUCGCUCUUCAGCGCUACUGCCCCGCUUUGCCCGUGUGAUUGGCGGAGGUUUCGGGGUGCUCUUCGUUGAGUGACUCGGAGCGCCGUCAGGUUUACUUUGAAAAAAUUAGAGUGCUCAAAGCAGGCUUUUCACGCUUGAAUAUUCGUGCAUGGAAUAAUGGAAUAGGAACUCGUUUCUAUUUUGUUGGUUUUCGGAAAUCGAGUUAAUGAUUAACAGGGACAAUUGGGGGCAUUAGUAUUCAGACGACAGAGGUGAAAUUCUUGGACCGUCUGAAGACUGACUACUGCGAAAGCAUUUGCCAAGAGUGUUUUCAUUAAUCAAGAACGAAAGUUAGAGGUUCGAAGGCGAUCAGAUACCGCCCUAGUUCUAACCAUAAACGAUGCCAGCUAGCGAUCUGCCGAGUUUUUUUUGUAGGCUCCGCAGGAAGCUUUCGGGAAACCAAAGCUUUUGGGUUCCGGGGGAAGUAUGGUUGCAAAGCUGAAACUUAAAGGAAUUGACGGAAGGGCACCACCAGGAGUGGAGCCUGCGGCUUAAUUUGACUCAACACGGGAAAUCUCACCAGGCCCGGACACUGGAAGGAUUGACAGAUUGAGAGCUCUUUCUCGAUUCGGUGGGUGGUGGUGCAUGGCCGUUCUUAGUUGGUGGAGUGAUUUGUCUGGUUAAUUCCGAUAACGAACGAGACUCUGUCCUGCUAAAUAGUUGGGUCGUCCUUCGUGCGAUCCAAGUUCUUCUUAGAGGGACUGGCUGCGUCUAGCAGCACGAGAUUGAGCAAUAACAGGUCUGUGAUGCCCAAGGG